rnacentral:rRNA from 1 species
UACAGAGGGUGCGAGCGUUAAUCGGAAUUACUGGGCGUAAAGCGUGCGUAGACGGCUAUCUAAGUCGGGUGUGAAAGCCCCGGGCUCAACCUGGGAAUUGCAUUCGAGACUGAAUAGCUAGGGUACGGUAGAGGGAAGUGGAAUUUCCGGUGUAGCGGUGAAAUGCGUAGAUAUCGGAAGGAAGACCAGUGGCGAAGGCGGGUCUCUGGACAGUUCCUGACGCUGAGGCACGAAGGUCAGGGGAGCAAACGGG